UACGAAGGGUGCAAGCGUUACUCGGAAUUACUGGGCGUAAAGCGUGCGUAGGUGGUGAGUUAAGUCUGUCGUGAAAGCCCCGGGCUUAACCUGGGAAUGGCAUUCAGGACUGCGAGGCUUUGAGUGCGGCAGAGGGAGGUGGAAUUCCACGUGUAGCAGUGAAAUGCGUAGAGAUGUGGAGGAACACCGGUGGCGAAGGCGGCAUUCUGGACCGAUAUUGACGCUGAGGAGCGAAAGCCAGGGGAGCAAACGGG
rnacentral:rRNA from 1 species